GGAAAAGAAACCAACAGGGAUUGCCCCAGUAACGGCGAGUGAAGCGGCAAGAGCUCAAAUUUGAAAUCUGGCCUCCCCCGGGGGUCCGAGUUGUAAUUUGCAGAGGAUGCUUCGGGCGCGGCCCCCGUCUAAGUUCCUUGGAACAGGACGUCAGAGAGGGUGAGAAUCCCGUCUUGGGCGGGCGGCCCGCGCCCGUGUGAAGCUCCUUCGACGAGUCGAGUUGUUUGGGAAUGCAGCUCUAAGCGGGUGGUAAAUUUCAUCUAAAGCUAAAUACCGGCCGGAGACCGAUAGCGCACAAGUAGAGUGAUCGAAAGGUUAAAAGCACCUUGAAAAGGGAGUUAAACAGCACGUGAAAUUGUUGAAAGGGAAGCGUUUGCGGCCAGACUCGGGGGGCGGGGUUCAGCGGGCGCUCGUCGCCCGUGCACUGCCCGCUCCCCGGGCCAGCAUCAGCUUCGACGGCCGGUCAAAGGCCCCCGGAAUGUGUCGUCUCUAGGGACGUCUUAUAGCCGGGGGUGCAAUGCGGCCCGUCGAGACU
rnacentral:rRNA from 1 species